UCAACAUGAUGAGAAUCAUUAUAAUAGUAAUCAAGACAGUGUACUGGAUCAAAGGUGUUGCAGGGGCAAAUGAUGUCAAUCAGCCUGAUGUACUCUGGUCUGAAUUGGGAAAAUCCGCCACAAUUAACUGCAGUCAUACCAAGGGUGCAACAUAUUAUCAGAUGUACUGGUACCGCCAGCACCAAGGAGAAACUAUGAAGCUCAUUGUCUUCACAUCCAGCUAUAGCAAAAAGCCAGAGUUUGGAAAUGAAUUUAGUGAGAGUAAAUUCUUAGCCAAUAAAACAGUCCCUGACAGUGGGUCCCUUACUGUAAAAGAUCUGGAUUUUACUGACAGUGCAAUGUAUUUCUGUGCUGUGUUGUAA